rnacentral:rRNA from 1 species
ACAUCCAGCGAACUUGGCAGAGAUGCCUUGGUGCCUUCGGGAACGCUGAGACAGGUGCUGCAUGGCUGUCGUCAGCUCGUGUUGUGAAAUGUUGGGUUAAGUCCCGNAACGAGCGCAACCCUUAUCCUUUGUUGCCAGCGAUUCGGUCGGGAACUCAAAGGAGACUGCCGGUGAUAAACCGGAGGAAGGUGGGGAUGACGUCAAGUCAUCAUGGCCCUUACGAGUAGGGCUACACACGUGCUACAAUGGCGCAUACAAAGAGAAGCGACCUCGCGAGAGCAAGCGGACCUCAUAAAAGUGCGUCGUAGUCCGGAUCGGAGUCUGCAACUCGACUCCGUGAAGUCGGAAUCGCUAGUAAUCGUGGAUCAGAAUGCCACGGUGAAUACGUUCCCGGGCCUUGUACACACCGCCCGUCACACCAUGGGAGUGGGUUGCAAAAGAAGUAGGUAGCUUAACCUUCGGGAGGGCGCUUACCACUUUGUGAUUCAUGACUGGGGUGAAGUCGUAACAAGGUAAGCGUAGCGAG